rnacentral:lncRNA from 1 species
CAAAUAGUUUAAAGGCAGCUUAGUUCUUUUGGUUAAAAUAUGAAUAAUGCAUAAAAGGAGCCUGUAAAGAGAAGUAACUGGAGGGGAGGAAGGAUGCUGCUCAAUGUAUUUUUUGAUGAAAAUGAGAAAGAAUAACAUGUUUGAAAAACAUGGACAAAUAAAUUGGAUGGUCAUUUACCCCAAACUGACUGAAAAUGUCUGGCUGUUACAUGCUCAGUACACAAGCUACAUGAAAUACAAUCAAACUAAAUGGACCUCUUGGAAUGACUGUUUAAGAUAAGCAUGAGAAUGGUGUCAAGCAAGGUGAGUCUUUGGACACUGUUGAUGGCAAUGUGAAAUGAUACAACCAACAAUUGCAAAUGGGCUGGCAGACCCACAAAACUUAAAUAUAAUUCUGCCAUGUGACCUAAGUAUUUUAAUUCUGAG